CAGACUGGAGGGCACAGAGAGGGGAGAAUGACUAACAUUGGAGAUCUGUCAGGCAACUGGAAAGCCAGCCAAGAAAAAGAGAACAAAAUCUAUCCUUGGAAGUGCACCGAUCCGCCAUUGGAAAGUUCUGGCAAGUGAAAUCUAACGUGUCGCGGCUCGUGAUGUCAUCGCCCUAUCCACUGUGACUUCAUCACACCACACUCCUUUCUGCUGUGACAUCAUUGCCCCUUCGGAGCAUGCGCAUGGCCUGUGUGUGUAUCAUCCAGAGCUCAGCUGCUGGGAUGAUGUGGGGGAGCAACAGAGAGCGUCCUGCGUGGCAGGGGGGGGCAUAUGUGCCACAGGUUCACCACCUCCGUCCUAGUCUCGGUCUGAGGUGGGGUGCCUGAGGCUGAAAAAAGAAUUUAACCCACCCUUUUGGUAGAAAAAGAUGUGAGUUCAUGGACUUCCGUCACAGAAAAAAUAUUUUCAGGAAGCUCC